CAUUAUCGAAUUCAAGCCCAACGCUUGUGCAUUCACUUGCACGCCGCGAGCUUCGUCUUCAUUCACACCUGUGCACCUUUGCGCCGACACGGUUCACGCCGCAGUACGCGCUUUUUUUAACACCUUUUUGUAUGGCCUUGAAUUUAAUUCGGUCGCUCUGUGAUGGAGUGGUCGUGAAAAACAAAUACAACUUUCAGCAACGGAUCUCUUGGCUCUCCCAUCGAUGAAGAACGCAGCGAACUGCGAUACGUAAUGUGAAUUGCAGAAUUCAGUGAAUCAUCGAAUCUUUGAACGCACCUUGCGCCGCUCGGUUUUCCGAGGGGCACGUCUGUUUGAGCGUCACGUUAAUUCCUCACUCGCCUUCGGGUUGAGUGGAAUUGGAUGCUGCUGUCUGCCCUCGGGCGACGGCUCGUCUGAAAUACAUUGCUGCCUGCAGAGCCUUGCGCGGAGCGAGGCUGACGAAACGGUGUGAUAUUUACUAUCUGCGCUGAAGUAGUCGGUUUCGAGCUGCUGCACUUGGAGCGCUCUGGGCUUAUAAUGAAACUCGUGCUCGUCACGAUUUAUUCUACGUGUUUGACCUCAAAUCAGAUGGGACUACCCGCUGAACUUAAGCAUAUCAAUAAGCGGAGGAAAAGAAACUAACAAGGAUUCCCCUAGUAACGGCGAGUGAAGAGGGAAAAGCUCAAAUUUAAAAUCUGGCGGUCUCCGGCCGUCCGAGUUGUAGUUUAGAGAGGUGUUUUCCGCGUCGGACCACACAAAAGUUCCUUGGAAUAGGGCUUCAUAGAGGGUGAGAAUCCCGUACAUGGUGUGGACUACCGGGGCUAUGUGAUGCACCCUCAAAGAGUCGAGUUGUUUGGGAAUGCAGCUCAAAAUGGGUGGUAAAUUCCAUCUAAAGCUAAAUAUUGGGGAGAGACCGAUAGCGCACAAGUACCGUGAGGGAAAGAUGAAAAGCACUUUGGAAAGAGAGUUAAACAGUACGUGAAAUUGCUGAAAGGGAAACGCUUGAAGUCAGUCGCGUCUGCUCAGACUCAGCCGUGGUUCUCCGCGGUGUACUUCUGUGCAGAUGGGCCAGCAUCGAUUUUGUCCAUCGUAUAAAUGCAUUUGGA
rnacentral:rRNA from 1 species